ACUUUUAAAAUAAUGGAGAUAAGGCUUUAGUCUUGUCAGGUGGGCCAAAGAUCAUUCGCACAAGAUUCAGGAAAGUUGAAUGUUAUCGUGAAUCUUAAAAACUUUACCAUUUGUGGGGGAAAAAAUCUUAAAACGGAAAAAGAGUUUGAUGCCUUACCAAUCUCUGCGGAAUAUUGACACCUGAUUUUUCUUAACAAUAAUUUUAGGGUUAGCCUUACUUCUGUUUUAUUUUUAGGGUUAGUCUUAUUUUUCCUUUCCUUUGCUGAUGAAGAAGAGAGUGUUGACAGCCUGGCGGGUACGAAGAAACUCUGAUAAGUUCAUUCUGUUCAUCAGCAUUUGUUCCAUCUUGGGCCGACGCGGAUCAUAUUUGAUCAUAUAAAUAAAUGUAAUUGAGCAUGUAGAGAUCAUCAUUAGAACAUAGAAGAAUAAUCUUGAAGGUUAGGAGCUCUGGAGUUGGCUCGCAUUCUUGCUUGAGCCCGAAUGUUGCAUAACACACAUGUUUUGUACUUAGGUUUGUGAGUUGAAUCUUGUGACCCGCAUGUGGCCAACAGUUUGUAACUGAUUUUCAUGAAAUAAUAUAGUUUGUUUCUGCAUUUCCUCCA